rnacentral:tmRNA from 1 species
GGGGCUGACUGGUUUUGACAGCGUGUAGAAGCGGUGUGUAAGCGUGCAGAGACAAGAUGUUCGCUCUCUAUAAUACCGUGCAUCAACAAUUUAACUGGCGAAAACAACUUCGCUCUCGCUGCUUGAUUGAAGUACAGUAGAUCAGCUUAAUCCUCGCGACAGUCGCGAGGACGGGACAUCGCCCGAUUGUCGUCGUCCCGAGACAAAUCGAUAUGGCGGUGUAAGUAAAUCGGGAAUAGGCAUGCGGCGGCCUCGCGCCGUGAGCCGAAAUUUCAGAGGAUAAGGCAUCGGUUGGCCGUCUCCGGCCUGCCGCGGCACGAAAACCAAUCGGAGAAUACGCACGUAGAAAGCACAUUGAUUCCGCGUUUGGACGAGGGUUCAAGUCCCUCCAGCUCCACA